CCUGUGAACGGCUGUGUACCAUCCCACAGCCAAAGUGAGAUUGACGACUGUAUCAACGGGAAUUAAAUCUGCCACAGCCAUUGGAGUAGCUCUUAUGGACCGAAGAAACCCUUUCCCAGCCUGCAUAGGAAAAAGAACAACUCCAGUGAAUGAGAGUCUAAUGUAAGACCUCCAUCCAACUCUGGGACAGACAGUAGAAUCUCCAGAGGAACCUCAUGCUGGAUAAACCCUGAACCAAAUGUGGAAUUUUGUCCUAAUAUAAUGGGUUUGUAUUUGAUUUGCUGCACUCAACUAUACGUUCUGAGAAGAGAGAGAGAGAAAAGGACAUCUUCGGAAAGUAACAGGGUGAGAAGGAUGAUGGUUUGGAAGCAAAGCAAGGAAUCCAGACAAGUGGACUUACCGGGAAAGGCUCCUGCCAGGUUGCUCCCACAAUGGAGGGCCUUAUGAUGGCAAUGUUUAGGUUCCCGCUCUCCUGCUGCACCACCAUCUCACCCAAGGCCUUGGUAUACGUUUUCCUUAGGCAACAAGACUAGUGGUACUUCGGAUGAAGUUUUCUGCGGAGCAAGUACCGGACACGCGGCCAUGGUCAGGUUUGCUCUCUCCGUCUCCUGUCUGAGUUAGGUUUUUCCCUUGAUUCCUGCAGGGAUCCUGCCGUAGGUUCCUGUGUCAGUUUCAAUGUGGCAGAGUUGGCUUCAGAGCAAAUUUACACUUUUUACUGGGGUCAAGGGGAUUCCUGUGCCUGGUGCUGGCGGUGAGCUGGCCUCUGCAUUUCCCCCUUGACUUCUACUAAGCACCUAUUCUGGCCUCCAGUGGCCUGAUAAUAUGAAAAUUAUUCAGUCUGUCUAGGAAGCAGUGUAACCCAGCUCUGAUUUGUAUUUAAAACCGGAUAACACUAAAAGUACACAGAAUUUUCUGGGUUGUUUUGGUUUGCUGCGUAGAUGCCAUCUUAAGCCUCUACAAUUCUGACAGUAAAUGGACAAAAUCAAAAUGAGUGUUUUCCUUUUCCCUGGAGUAGAUACACUGUCUUAGUGUUAACGACGUGUUCUUCAGCACCCAGACAAGACUACUUUCCAACAUCUGACUUCCUUUCAUAUCUCUGCUAUAGCUGACAGCUGCCCACGUUUGAUCAAAAACACCUUUUUUCACAUGGCAGAUUAACUAUGCUUCUGGAGGCCAGGUAGCUGCAAGAGCAUGAUUUUGAGUAGGUACAAAUCUUUCGGGGAAAGCCUCUAGGAAUGGUGGGGUGACAAGCAAAGAGAGUGGGGAGGCUGGGGUGCGUGGGUGACUGGAAUACGAAUGAACCUCGUGUCAAAUGAGAGACAUUACACGAAAAAGCACUUUGAGGCAGUUUCCCCCAAACUUGCCUGCUCGUCAGUAAGACUUAUGUCGGGCCUAUGACAAAAGUUCAGCUCCCUGGGCAUCAUCUUAGAACCUCCAAACCAGUCUUCAGGGGCAACAGCUUGAUCACCUUGAUUUGUAGCCAGUGGAGUGGUGCUUGUUGUGGUCAGGCAAACUGAGGAAUCACCAGUAUCAAAGGACGCCACCCCACAAAUGUUAGCCUUGAACAAAUUGGGAUUAGCUCUGAGAGAGCUUUACUUUACUCCACUUCUUGGAGUAAAACUUUCAGUGGACUUGAACUUUAAAGGAUUUCAAUCCUGGACACUAGAGAUGGAAUCUGAGGGUUGAUUAGAAGGUAUGUGCAAGCCCACAUGCAAAGCAGUGGCCACAUCCCAUUCAGUCUCCUGUCCCCGAACACGGAGGUGUUUUUUGGUAUCUGUUGUCACUCCCCAGUUCUCGGUCUCACCCCACAACAUGGCAGGUCACAACUGUCCCUGCCUCUGACAACUGCCCAGGCAGAUCUACCCCCUUCCUUUGUGACCACUAACAUUCCUAAAGCCCGCUUUCAUCCAAGUCUUUUUUUGAUGAAAACAAAAUGGAAGCACCAACCAAACAAAACCACCCCCCCAUACACACACAUGCGUGACCCUCCUGCCGUGGAUCCCUAUUGCCUCUAGAAUUAAAUACAGUCUUCCCCACGGCAUUCAAAACUCUCAGGGCAGCCCCAGCCCCACUUUCCUACAAAUAACAACUGCGCUGCCCAGGGCCGCAUCCCCAGCAUGCCUCCAGCCUUCCUGCUCCCCUGGCUGCGUGACCAAAUCAUGGGGCUACGGAGAAAAACGGUGUCCCUGUAACUUAGUAGCUGGGAGAAUUCUGAAGCCUUCCUCGGCCUUUUGGAGCUUCUGUUCCUUUAUUAGCCCAGUAGCAGCAACACAUACCACCAGCCCCACAAUAUUACCGUAAGGAACCGAUGUCUGUGAAAGUGUCUUUACUCACAAUAAUUGCUCGGUGAUGAAUGAGAGCUGUCCUUCCCUUCUUAAUGCGUACUUACUAGAUUGAUUUAAGGAUGCUAACUAAAGCAGUAAAGAUUUAUGGAUCCAUUUUUCUAGUUUCGGGCUAUAGUUAUUUCCAGUUUUUAUAUAGCUACAAAAAUCUUUUCCUUCUGUCUCUCCUAAGAGGAGUUAACUUGGCCUGAAAAAGAGGGAAAGAAAGCAGCAAUCUUUCCCGGUCUGUUAUGUGCACUUUAAAAAAUAAACAUUCUACAUGAGUCAUUAUUCCGGAAAACUGGAAUUUCAUUGGUAGUUCCUCAUCCAUUUAUGCAUAGGAGCUCCUAAAGGUACCCACCCCCAACUGCAGAAGCUAGAAAUAAGAAGACAGGGAGAUGGGGAAGAAUAGUGACAUAAUUCCAUGAUAAAAUGCCUGUGAUGAUUGGGACGAGGGCCAGACACGUGCAGGUGUGAGAGCUGGAGAGGUCUGUUUUCCUAAUGCUGAUUCAUGGCCACAAUUGUCAUACCAAUAAGAAGCAUUAACUCCUAAUUGGGUCUGGCCUCAGGUUCAAAGGCUUCCAGAGGAGAGCCCUGAUGUCCGAGGAGGAAUUAACCAGGGAAGCAGAGGUGGAGGUAGUUUCUAGAAACAGAACUGUCAUAAGCCAAGGCAGAGCGGCAUGAGGGAGAGGAGUAAUGACUUCAGUGUGACCACCGCACAGACAUAAAGGGAGGGUUGGCGGAGAUGACGCUGGACAGCUGGUCCUGAAUAUAAAAUUCUGAAUUAAAUAAUUAUAUUCCUUGGGGAGCAGUAAAUGAGAGACUCGAAUUUUGUACAAAUGUCAAUUCCGGUUUGAUCAUCAAUCAUGUAGCUAUCCCUGGGUUUCCCCAGGGGACAUGGAGUGGGCGAGGAUGGCAAGCGCUGGGCACCCGAAGAGAAACCAACUCCUCUUCUGGGAGUCUCUGCAAGACUCUGUCCUGCCUCACAUCGUGCUGUCAUGUGUCAGCUGCUAGACGGGUCAACAGUGGAGGAAGGCUCUGGGAUCUCAGCAGAGUCUGCACUCAAACAGCUCUGCCCCUUUCCUGGGCACAGCAAAUAUAGACACACCACACAGACCAAGAGACAACACUGUGAGAGGGCAGCUAACCGAAAAGAAAUUGAUUCCACCCCAAAACACCCUGAGGCCUUCCACAUCCACUCUCCUGUACUGACGUGGGGCAUCAGAGUCUCUUAUCUCCAACUCUCCUGACAAGCUCUGCACUCGGAAGGUCCCUUUGCACGACUUAAGCAAGUCACCACUUAUGAGCUACGUGAGGUAACCUCCGGGUCCUUUGGAUGACUUUCAUUCUUCUUUGUCCUGGAUAUUUUUAAAUGACAGGUAAAAAUAUCUAUUCUCAGGACUGUAGGAGAUAAAAAUGUUUGCCCUGAAGGGAGUGAACUCUUGAUUUAGCUAAGCUUCAUUUUAAAGAGUCUAUCUUAAAUAGAGAUACAGUAUUACAUGAAAUUAAAAUCUGACAAAUUUCAUGGUGAAGUAGUCUAUUUUCUCAGCCGGAAUACCUUUUUACAGUUGUUGUUGUUUUUUCUAAACAAGAUAAACUUGUUAAAUUGAACAGAAGAAUGAAGACCCAGAAAACGAAAACACUUAUUCUGAGACUAGGGCCUGACUUAAGAACAAAGUGGCUCCUGUUAGUAGGCAGGAAGAGAAAAAUGCUAGUUAUUUUUCCUCCACCACAAGACAAUAAGGAAAGCGUAUCUCAGCCUCCUAGCCCAAGAGACUUGCACUUUCUGCCAGAGCUGGGAGGAUUUCCACUUACGUAGGAGUUCUUCUUCUUCUUAUUAUUAUUAAUUUUUUAAAGAUUUUAUUCAUUUAUUUGAAGAGAGAUAGGAGAACUCAAGUAGACAGAGCGGCAGGCAGAGGGAGAGGGAGAAGCAGGCUCUCUGCCAAGCAGGGAGCCCGACACAGGGCUCCAUGCCAGGACCCCGGGGAUCAUGACCUGAGCUGAAGGCAGACGCUCAACCGACUGAGCCACCCAGAUGUCCCACAUCUGAGUUCUUCUUUAUUAACCUUUGGAUCAGCUGCCAUUAAACACUCCCAAGCACAACAACUGCUUUCUAUCACUCAUCAUCACUACAAGAUGAGCACUGUUAUCACCCCCAUUUCACAAAUGAAGGAAGUGAGGCGCAGAGAGGCCAAGGAACUCACUCAAGGUCACACAGACAGGAAGCUGCAUGCAGAAGCCAGGUUGGACAGACGCAGAAGGCUUGUUCCUUCACUUUUACACUGUACACUCUACUUCCUUCAGUGACCACGCUGAGUACGGAGUGACAGAAGCAUUCCCAUGAGCCCAUUAUAAUCCUAAACUAUUUCACAAAACUCCUUGGCAUUUUUGGUGUUGUGAUGUUCAGUUAGCCACCAUAGAAUACACCAUCAGUUUCUGACAUCGCGUUCACCCAGUGCUCAUCACCACUCGUGCCCUCCUUGAUACCCACCGCCCUGUGGCAUUUAUCCAUGCCCGUCUUUCCCCAUCACCAAGCACUGGACUCCCCACGCUGGGAUGAAGGGAACAGCAGGGAUCAGACAGCGAAAGCUAGCACCUUUGCAGAGCACGCUACUUCAAGAGUGCCUUGCUUUGCUACCUCAUUAAUGGAUGCCUACAAAGAAUCAAAGAGAACCAGGAUCUGCCCACCUCCUGACCCCCUCAUGUGACCCAACUUACUCCAUGGAGUCGAUGAUUUUUUUUGGCUCCACAGGGCACGGGUAGAUGACCUCAUCGAUGUGCUUCAGGUUACAAUUUGAAAAGGCAGUGGAGAUAUGAAUGAAGGCUUCAAGCUUUGGCAUCUGACUGGCCAUGAGCAAGAGCUGCUGGGUGGCAGUGACAUUGAGUUGCACGGCGUGUCUGCAGGAGGAAAAGCAGAAGAAGUACAAUGAGGCAACUCGAUGUUCUGCUUUGCUAGAACGUCACCUACUCCAAUAAUGGGCACAAACCGCAAGGAAACUGACAUGCAUAUGUACAUGCACACACAUGCACCUGUGUGUGCCAUGAGCAGGAAGUGGGCACAUACCUCAGAUGAUCAUCGAAGCGCACGGUGGCCGCACAGUGGAAGAUAAUGUUUGUACAGGAGAGAAGCUCUUGCAUGUCCUCCUUGCUGAUAGCAAAGUCAUUAUGAUUGAGGUCCGCGUAGAUAGCUCUGAUCUUCUCAUGCACGUUUGGACAAACUUCUUUGACUUUUUGAAACAGCUAAAACAUAAAUAGAAAUCAAUAUGCAGACAGCGUCAUCACCAUCUCAUUGCUCUUGUUUUUGUUGAUGUGUCACAUCGCAAUUCGCAAAAACUGGUUUUAUCUGUAAUACCACUCAAAGAAGGCAUUUACUCAAGAGCCAUUUGUUUAACCGCCUGCAAUUUGGUCGGCUUGGUAUAAUUUCCACUCCUCUUAAUUUGAUAAACAUUCAAAAAAGUCAUUUCUAAUAACCAGUAAGGAGUGUAUUUUGAGCCUUUCCUGCAGGGUUGAAAGAAUGACAGUGAGCCGUCCAUAUUCUGCCCCUCCUCUUUUCCCCAUGUUUAUAUAUGGUGAUUGUUUCCAUUUUUGGCUGGGAAAUAGGGCUUUCAGUGCAAAAUACCAGCCUUUGCAAAUUACCAGCAAAGCCACCAGCUUUUACAAGGGAGGUCUCAUGGACGCAAAUUCGAAACAACUUAGUUAACUGGCCCAGAGGAACAGUAUUAGGUCUUAGCAGCACAAACAUAAUUAGAAAAUAACAAAUUUGGUGAAUCUGUAAUGGGUAAAACAAAUACAACUUUUAUAUAAUCUCAUUCCAAUAUCAAUGGCAGUUAUUGUCUAGUAAGAGAAUUACAUGAGCUCAUGUACGUUUUAUGGGAUAUUAAUUGAUUUCUUAAUAUUCUAACUUCUUUAUAAAGGAAAAGGAAAGAGCCUUGGCAGUUUUAGCUUUUAUUACCCUUGUUCAGAUGGAACAGUCUCUACUUUCCCCUCCACACACAAGUUCUUAGAUUCAACUGGUAUUUUCCAUUUUCUCAAAGAAUGUAAUUAAAAAAAAAUGUUCUUGGUUUUAACCUGUUUUGACAAAAAGAAAUUCUACUGUAGUAUUGGCAUGGGCUAAUAGCAGUGAGAAAAAAUAAAGCUAAAUGUUUAGGAAGGUUAGGAGCGGAGAAAAUUAGUCUGUGGUUUUUUUUGUUUGUUUGUUUGCUUUUAAGAUUUUAUUUAUUUGUCAGAGAGAGGGAGAGAGAGCGAGCACAGGCAGACAGAAGCAGAAGGAGAAGCAGGCUCCCUGCCAAGCAAGGAGCCCGAUAUGGGACUCUAUCCCAGGACACUGGGAUCAUGACCUGAGCCGAAGGCAGCUGCUUAACCAACUGAGCCACCCAGGCAUCCCUGUGGUUUUAAUCAUAGUAGAGUAGCUGAGCCUAUUCCCUUUACCCCUUCUGCCCCCAAAGACAGUUUGCAUGUCUUCCUUGAUCCUGAAUAGCAGGCUUCUUCCCUCAACUGGAGAUCUAUCCUAGGCUCUUUUAUUGGCUAAUAAGAAAUCAAUCUAAGGUAGUAAAAGAAACCAUGUCUCAUCUGAAUCAGAGAAGACCAUGUUAGAGGCCCUUGUGGGAAUCUAGUGAAGAUGAUCAGAGAAGGAGGUCAAGUCCACAUAUUGACCUGGUGAGCUACUACACUUUGAGCUACCUUUUUUUUUUUUUUUUUUUUCUCUGCAGGAGCAGCCUUGCAGUAGCAAUGGGACUAGAGUUCUGAAAAGCGUUUGGAGGUUAGGUCAACCCUCAAAGGUUUUGAGACAUUUGGGACUGAUGCGGUGGAUCCAGUGUCUGAGGGACAUUCUCAACAAAGGUCAUUCUGGCUCUUCCAGAAAGAUAUUUAUCAGCUUUUGUAAUCUGGAUAAAUCAUGAGCAAGCUAAAUAUUGGUUUUCUCCAUCAAAGCUUUUCCUUCUCAUAGUCCAUGUUAGUCAUGUGACAAAUUGGAUCUUUUUGGAUAAAUUUGUCUAAAAUUUGCAUAAUUUCCCCUGUUUUUAAUAAUUUGAUUUGUAGAAGGUUCUGUUUUGAGUCUGCAUGACAGAUUUUAUUCACAAGAAAUUUAUUUCGGGUUCUGUGGAGUCUUUGACCUGUGAUGAUUUCUGGCUACAUUAGAGUAAUACGUGGAAAAUGACUUCAGUGUCCAUCCUUCCAGCAGUGGAGUUCCUCCCACAUGAUGUAAGCUACCGUACAGAUUUUCUUUUGCCUUUGGUUUUUACGACUUUAAAAGGCAGAGAACCCCAUUACACCAUAUUAUACCUCCAGCCCACCUAUGCAAAUAUGAUCAAUGGAGAUAAUUACCAUUUUAGGAAAUAAGUGUUCUGAGCUAUAUUCUAUUUAUUGAUUAUAUUUUCCAAUGACAGGGCAUAGCUGAGUGCACAUGGUGUAAUUCUUUUUAAAGUUUAAGUUUUCUAAUCCAGAUGGGAUUUAUUAUGGUCAAUUGAAAUAAAUCGGAGAAUUGGCUGCAGCAAUUCAAACCACAGGACUAAGUGAGGGUCACAUUUUACUAUGCUCUCCAUGCCCACUAAUACGACUUGCCUCAUCUGGCAUCUCACCAUUUUGCUCCAGCCUCUAACAAAAUAAUACCUCUUAAAUGUUGCCACAUCCUAAAUAGACCGCUGAGAUUACAGCCAACCAUCAUCCAAUAGGUCAGUGCUUUUCAAAGUGUUACCCACCAAGUGAACUGGAUCGGAAUCACUAAGAUGCACUUUAAAAGUGUAUAUUUCCAGCCCCUGGCCCCACCCACUAAAGAAGAAAUGACUGGGGAACACCCAGGAGUUUGCAUUUCACACAUCAGGUUCCCUGGUCAUUUUUAACUGGUCCCAAGAUGAGAACUUCUCCAGCUGGAGUGUUAACAUGGACUAAUUGUUCAUGAACAAUAGUGUUUGGCUCAUUUCUCUUUACAGGACGUCAGUGGUUUUCAAACUGUGUAGGCAUAAGAAAGAUCUAGGAACCAAUUAAAAAUGACUUCCUUACUCUACCCUCUGAGACCUUGACUCAGUAUGUUUGGCAAGUAACCCCGGCACUUGUACAUCUUAACCAGCUCAACGGAUAGGUCUUCCAGUCCGGGUACCAUACUUGGUGAAAGAAAUAUAAUUUCAAAAAACUUGGUGAAACAUUAAUUUGGAAAAUUAAUGUUCAUUUUUUAAGUCAGGGCUUAAAUGUCCCCCUCUGGUUGGUAAACUCCUUGGUUCUUGUUUACCAUUUUAUGCUGGACAGCACCCAGUUCAUUGAAAAGACUCAAAUGUUGCUUGUUACACUGAAAUUAAUUACUGUAAGAACAGUGGUAGAACCAGGAGUGGGAGCUUGAUUCCUGAAAUUGUUCCCUGGCUCUUUUGUGUUGGUGGGAUAAAAGACAGCAGAUCACUACCACAGGUAGAAGAAACAAAGUGUCCCCUUGGGUCUCUGCAUGAUUGCAAAUGGAAGCCGAAAAGGCUCAGAGCAGAACCUUUGCUUUUGUAAUAAUGACACAACCAAAGGACAGAAGAAAUGCUGCAAAUGAGUCCUCUGUGGACACCAGCUCUCAGAAAAAUCCCUUUGUUGAUGUGAGACUUUCAUUAAGAGUAAGAAGAAAACAGAUGGAACAGACAUGAAUGAAGAAAAAAUAUAUAAUUUCAAAAAUGUCAUUGAAGGUCCACCAAUAAAGAACUUGAUAUAGUUAUUUUAGAUUCUAAGAGUUCAUCAUAUUCCUUUUCAUAAAUCUUUAUGUAACGGCAUCAGACUGAGAAGGUUAAGAGUACAGUAGCUCCUGCCAUUGAUGAAGACUCAAGGAGGGACUGAUGAAGACUCAAGGAGGGACUGCUGUGUUCCUGUUCUUGACAGAGGCAGGAUGCUUAUCUGUGGUCACUGAAAGAUCACAGCUAAGAGGCUCUCUAAACAUUUCAAGCUUGGGGUGCCUGGGUGGCUCAGUCAGUUAAACAUCCGACUCGAUUUCAGCUUUGGUCAUGAUAUUAGGGUGGUGAGAUUGAGCCCUUGAGCCCUGCUUAAGAUUCUCUCUCUCCCUCUCCCUAUGCCCCUCCUCCUCCUCACUUUCUCUAUCUCUCUCAAGUAAAUAAACUUAAAAAAAAUAAAUAUUUCAAACUGGUAACAAAACUAUACAUUUCUCUUGGGAAGUCUAGGACUGUUCUAUUGAUUUGACAUUACACAGGAAGGAUUUCCCUUCCGUAAUUUGUUUUAAACACAAGAGACCAUUCCAUAUAUGGUAAUAGUUACUGAUAACCCAGACACAGGAGAGAAACUUUACAUAUCUUAAGUGAGAAAAUUCAGCAGAAAGAAGACCAGGAAGAGAAAUUUUCUGGAUUCGAUAAACUCCUUGGGUAUGACUUUUGUAGCCAGACACUAUGAAUGCAGUUUUAUUAGAAGCAGGAAUUGGGCAAGGGGUUGGGGUAUGACAUUUAUAUUAUGCUUUUGAAACAACGUAGAGGUCCUGAACUUGGAUUUCUAUAACUAUCUUGUUAUCCACAUGACUUCACUUUGUUUUUUUGUUUUUUUU